ACGUAGGCAGCGAGCGUUGUUCGGAGUUACUGGGCGUAAAGAGUGCGUAGGCGGUUUUCUAAGUUUGGUGUGAAAUCUCCCGGCUUAACUGGGAGGGUGCGCCGAAAACUGGAAGGCUUGAGUAUGGGAGAGGUAGGUGGAAUUCCCGGUGUAGCAGUGAAAUGCGUAGAGAUCGGGAGGAACAUCUGUGGCGAAGGCGACUGCCUGGACCAGCACUGACACUGAGGCACGAAAGCGUGGGGAGCAAACAGGA
rnacentral:rRNA from 1 species